ACUCGAAGAACGCCCGAAAAAACUGCGAAUGAAGAGGGACAAAAAAACAGGAUGUUUUUUUGAGCGAAGCUUCCCCAGGGAUGGGGAAUCUGAGCGCCCCAGCGUAUAUGAGCAGUUUUUGAGGAUCAGCGUUCGAGCUGU
rfam:Marinitoga piezophila KA3, complete genome.